rnacentral:pre_miRNA from 1 species
UGCCUUCUCCAUCGUAUACUUUGCACGUGCUGCCUGACUUUUUGGGAAAUUGAGCAGCAAGGGACAUGAAAGCUGAGCAAGAAAGAU